rnacentral:tRNA from 7 species
GCCUCUGUAGCUCAGUGGAUAGAGCGUCUGCCUCCGGAGCAGAAGGUCGAAGGUUCGAUUCCUUUCAGGGGCACCA